rnacentral:rRNA from 1 species
AUUGAACGCUGGCGGCAUGCCUUACACAUGCAAGUCGAACGGCAGCGAACCUUCGGGUGUCGGCGAGUGGCGAACGGGUGAGUAAAGUAUCGGAACGUACCAUCAAGUGGGGGAUAACGUAGCGAAAGUUACGCCAAUACCGCACAUUCUGUGAGCAGGAAAGCAGGGGAUCGCAAGACCUUGCACUGAUUGAGCGGCCGAUAUCAGAUUAGCUAGUUGGUGAGGUAAAGGCGCACCAAGGGGACGAUCUGUAGCGGGUUGGAGAGGAUGAUACGCCACACUGGGACUGAGACACGGCCCAGACUCCUACGGGAGGCAGCAGUGGGGAAUUUUGGACAAUGGGGGCAACCCUGAUCCAGCCAUGCCGCGUGAGUGAAGAAGGCCUUCGGGUUGUAAAGCCCUUUCGGCCGGGAAGAAAUCGUGUGGGCUAAUACCCUGCAUGGAUGACGGUACCGGAAUAAGAAGCACCGGCUAACUACGUGCCAGCCGCCGCGGUAAGAC